AAACCAUGGGCCAUAGAGGAAGUCAUUUAUAUACUGGAUUUCUUUGUGAGGUUUAAUUGCCAAAGAUAUUCCAAAAUGUAGACUCAGCCCCGCCUGAUAAAAUGUGACCUCUUAGUGCACAGAAGGAAAUCUGAGGUGAAGUGAACUGGGCUCUUUCCUGAGAGAAGAGCGGAGGAACAACGGCAUGGUUUGCCUGGCAUUUCCUUUCCAAUUAUUUGUGAAGUCUUGCUUGUGAAAAUAGCCACAACAGAGCAGAGUCUGGUGUGCUCUGCAGAUGCUGACAAGACAAGUGAUGGCUCCACGGAACUGGCCUCUGCUAUCAAGGUUUUGAACAAAGUAUAAUCUUGUUCAGCUCAGAACUUACUGUGGCGUGUUAAGUCUAAGAUUUUGUCUCGCGUAAUUUGUUGAGCUGAACUUGCCAACGAAUAAAACCAGUAAACCUGCCUUGAAUCCUCACAGAAUUCCACUAACAGGGGCCCUCAACCUAACUGAGAAAACUAAAGGAAAGCUAAAGGUAGAUACUGGAAGGACACCUCUGCCAUGUAAAAGUUUUAAGACUUAUUUAUACUCCCCAUUGUGAUGGUGACAGAACUCUGGGAUUCUCCUGAGACUGCCUGACAUUCAGUGUGAAUUUGGACCAAAGAUCAGAAAAUAUGUGAUAGAAGGCAAUGAUUAGUUUAUCGCCUUAACAUAAACACCUACAACAAGCCAACUAUUAAUUUGGAUCAUCAGCCUCAACAAAUGUUCACUUCAAUAAAAUUAGAGGAAAGGAAUUCAUGAGUGCAUACAACAAGCACCUUAUAAGCCCACAAAGAAGGAAGUCCGAAUGCCAUUACAGCAGCCUAGAAGAUACAAUCAUGUUUGAUGGCUUUGUUGGAAAUCGCUUUACCUUAAAAGCCAGGCAACAAGCAAGCUAGUCGUGUGUGACCACCGGUGGGUGACCCCUGGAAGCUUGUACAACCUGCUUGCUGGAAACCAGAGAAAACCCCCACUGCACUCCAAGCGGAACAGCCAGAGAUAUGUGGAUUAAACCCUGUAAUAGAAGCUUAACUGAGCAGAAUAAUUCACGAAUACGUUAGAUUCUUCAUAUUGAUCAUGGACUUCAUUGAUUUUUCAGCUUUCGCUUUAACUCACAAGUUGUGCUAAGGUAGUGGAGCCAUUUUAGAAUGUGGCCCAAUUUAGUAUGAAUGUGGAAAUGAAUUUAGUCUGCAUCCAGAUUAAAACUCCUGGAGAAGCAAUACAGUGCUAUGUUCAAUAAUGGCGGCUCAGGAGCUAGCCAGCGUGAAUGUGAAGAGUAGGUCUCACUCCUAAAUCCUCACCAACUGUGUGACUUUGGGGCAAGUUGUUCAUGCUUUCAAUUACUCUGGUUUUCUUAUUUCUUUGGGUUCUUGAGGAGAUUGCAGAACUUGGUAGAUGGAAAGUACUCAGAUCAUUGCUUCACUGAGCCAAUUGCUUCACAGAUCAUCCUUGCAGUGAUUACUACUAUUGUUACAGGCAAGUCAGCACUGUAAUAGAUAUUCCUAAUUAAAAAUCAGAAAUGUAUAUCCUCACCACUAAAUUUGGGAGGUGGUAUGAGAGUAUGAGAUGGAAAUCAAAUGAGAGAGAGAGAGCAAGAUUGAUUGACGGUGCUACUGACUAGUUGGGAUUUUAGGCAAGUUCUUAGCUUCCCUAAGCCUGUUUCUUCAUCUGAAAGGACAACAAUGUCUAGUGCAUAGGGCGGCUGGGAGGAUUGAGUAAGAUGAUCUAUAAACAUGUCUGACACAUCGUAUUUAGCCAAUAAGUGAUAGCUGUGAAUGAAUUGCUCAACUUUGUUCUCCACAUCAUUGAAGUGUGCUAACAGGUGGUGACUGUAAGAAUUAUUGAACUUCAAUUUUAGUAUUUAUGUCUGAACAACUGCCCUCUGAUUACUUUAACUAUUCAUUGUACCUUGCCCAGAGAUUUCUAGAAUUGUAUUAAUUUAAACUAAAAGCUGUUUUCCUAUGUCUGAAUGGAGAGACAAGAAGAAU